rnacentral:rRNA from 1 species
GUACACACCGCCCGUCACACCACGAGAGUUUGUAACACCCGAAGUCGGUGAGGUAACCUUUUGGAGCCAGCCGCCUAAGGUGGGAUAGAUGAUUGGGGUGAAGUCGUAACAAGGUAGCCGUAUCGGAAGGUGCGGCUGGAUCACCUCCUUUCUAAGGAA